GGUUAAUUGAAAAGGGUAUUUGGUGGAUGCCUUGGUAUCAGGAGGCGAUGAAGGACGCAGAAGGCUGCGAAAAGCUUCGGGGAGCUGCCAAUCAAGCGAUAAUCCGAAGGUGUCCGAAUGAGGAAACUCGACUUGGAAAAACCAAGUUAUUAUUAUCUGAAUAUAUAGGAUAAUAGGGUGAACGGCAUGAACUGAAACAUCUAAGUAGUGCCAGGAAAAGAAAACGAAUGUGAUUCCCUUAGUAGUGGUGAGCGAAGAGGGAAGAGUCUAAACCGGUAUUAUGUGAUAGCCUGCAAGUGUUGUAGUAUCGGUGUAGUGGGAUAUGGAUGUCUAAGGUUUGCAGACUUUGGGCCAGAGUCUUUAAUUUAGUCGAAUUGUUCUGGAAAGGACAACCAAAGAGGGUGACAGUCCCGUAGGCGAAAAGUUAAUCGGCCUGGUUAUUUGUACUCCCAAGUAUCAUGGGACACGUGAAAUCUCGUGAGAAUCCGCCCCGACCAUGGGGUAAGACUAAAUACUACCUGAUGACCGAUAGUGAACGAGUACCGUGAGGGAAAGGUGAAAAGAACCCCGGGAGGGGAGUGAAAUAGAACCUGAAACCAAAUAUUUACAAUCGGUAGAAGCGAUGUAUAUGUACGCGCAACUACGUACCUUUUGCAUAAUGAGCCAACGAGUUAUCCCUAUAUUGCAAGGUUAAGUUUUGAAAGAACGGAGCCGCAGCGAAAGCGAGUCUGAAUAGGGCGUUAGUAAUAUGGGAUAGACCCGAAACCUAGUGAGCUAUCCUUGUCCAGGAUGAAGUCUCGGUAAAACGGGAUGGAGGUCCGAACCGGUGUGGGUUGAAAACUGCUCGGAUGAGGUGAGGAUAGGAGUGAAAGGCUAAUCAAACUGGGAGAUAGCUGGUUCUCCUCGAAAUAUAUUUAGGUAUAGCCUCGAUGAAUUCUCUAUGGCGGUAAAGCACAGUUUGAGUCUUGGGGGAGUAAUCCUACCAGAUUCUUGCUAACUCUGAAUGCCAUAGUUUUUGAAAUCGGGAGACAGACUGUGGGGGAUAAGCUUCAUAGUCGAAAGGGAAAGAGCCCAGACCAUCAGCUAAGGUCCUUAAAUAUCUAUUAAGUGGUAAAAGAUGUGAAAAUACUUAGACAGCCAGGAGGUUGGCUUAGAAGCAGCCAUCCUUUAAAGAAAGCGUAACAGCUCACUGGUCAAGUGUUUUUGCGCUGAAAAACGAACGGGGCUAAAUAGAUUACCGAAGCUAUGGAUUAUGUUAACCUUCGGGUUGAUAUAGUGGUAGAGGAGCGUUCCAUGGUAGAUACAAGAUAGAGCGUGAGCACUAUUGUGGACCAUGGAAGUGAGCAUGUUGGUAUAAGUAACGAAAAAAUGGGUGAGAUUCCCAUUCGCCGUAAGUCUAAGGUUUCCGAGAGAGCGGAUCAUCCACUCAGGGUUAGUCGACCCCUAAGCCGAGGCCAAUUGGAGUAGGCGAUGGACAGCAGGUUAAAUAUUCCUGCACCACUUUCUAGCGUUUGAGUGAAGGGAGGACGCAGUAAGAUAGGCUGAUUUGAUGUUUGGAUGUCAAAUUAAGCACAAAGAGGAGUUUCAUUGGCAAAUCCGUGAAACUGUUAUCCUUGAAGUGUUACGAGUGUAUCAAUCUUAACGGAGAGAUAUAUUCAGCUGAUUCUACACUGACUAGAAAAGCCCCUAGCGAGCUAUGUAAGUGAUCGUACCGCAAACUGACACAGGUAGACGAGAAGAGCAUUCUCAGGCGUUGAGAUAACUAUCUUUAAGGAACUCGGCAAAUUAACCCCGUAAGUUCGCGAUAAGGGGUGCCCAAGAUUGUGAUUAGAUUCGUCUAUGAAGCAAUAAUGGGUUUCAACAAAGCGGCCCACUCGACUGUUUAACAAAAACACAGGACUAUGCAAACACGUAAGUGGAAGUAUAUAGUCUGACGCCUGCCCAGUGCUGGAAGGUUAACGGGAGAUGUUAGUUCGUAAGGAUGAAGCAUUGAUCCGAAGCCCCAGUAAACGGCGGCCGUAACUCUGACGGUCCUAAGGUAGCGAAGUACCUUGUCGGGUAAAUUCCGACGCGCAUGAAUGGCGUAACGAGGUGGGCACUGUCUUGAAGAUAGACUCAGUGAAUUUGUAGUACAAGUGAAAAUGCUUGUUACCCGCGACAGGACGGAAAGACCCCGUGCACCUUUACUAUAACUUGACAUUGCUUUUUGGAUGCGUAUGUGUAGGAUAGGCGGGAGACUUUGAAGUCGAGGCGCCAGCUUCGAUGGAGUCGACCUUGAAAUACCGCUCUUAUAUGUUCGAAAAUCUAACCCUAAAUGCCCGAAAUCCGGGUAGGGGACAGUGUCUGGUGGGUAGUUUGACUGGGGUGGUCGCCUCCCAAAUUGUAACGGAGGCGUUCAAAGGUUCCCUCAAGACGAAUAGAAAUCGUCGGUUGAGUGCAAAGGCAUAAGGGAGCUUAACUGUAAGACACACAGGUCGAGCAGAUGCGAAAGCAGGACUUAGUGAUCCAGUGGUUCCGAAUGGAAGGGCCAUUGCUAAACGGAUAAAAGGUACGCCGGGGAUAACAGGCUGAUCUCCUCUGAGAGUCCAUAUCGACGAGGAGGUUUGGCACCUCGAUGUCGGCUCAUCACAUCCUGGGGCUGAAGAAGGUCCCAAGGGUUUGGCUGUUCGCCAAUUAAAGUGGUACGUGAGCUGGGUUCAGACCGUCGUAAGACAGGUCGGUCCUUAUCCGUCGUGGGCGCAGGGUAUUUGAGGAGGGUUGUCCCUAGUACGAGAGGACCGGGAUGAGUAAACCUCUGGUGUUCCAGUUGUUCUCCAAGAGCAACGCUGGGUAGCUAGGUUUAUUAGAGAUAACUGCUGAAAGCAUCUAAGUAGGAAACUCGCUCCAAGAUAAGAUACCCCUGCUUGCUAGCGCAAGCUAGUGAGCAAUUAAGGUCCCUCGAAGACUACGAGGUAGAUAGGCUGGGUGUGUAAGCGCAGUAAUGUGUUCAGCUAACCAGUACUAAUAGACCGAAAGUUUUAACCGU
rnacentral:rRNA from 1 species